CAAUCCGAUCCUUCAAAUUAAUCUUCCUCUAAUUCACUAACUGUUAAUAAAUUAUUCUAUCAUAAUUUUUGCAUAAGAUUAAUCAUCAAUUAUAUUGAUGAUUAUACCCUUCAACGAUUCAUAAUCAUUGAUCAGCCAUCUGAUCAGACAGGAAUCUCUAUUGUAUGUAACCCCAUAGGUUCGAAUACUAAGUUGGUAAUAUAGAAACUAAUUCCAAUACU
rnacentral:lncRNA from 1 species